CUGGCGGCAGGCCUAACACAUGCAAGUCGAGCGCACUCUUCGGAGUGAGCGGCGGACGGGUUAGUAACGCGUGGGAACAUACCCUUUUCUACGGAAUAGCCUCGGGAAACUGAGAGUAAUACCGUAUACGCCCUUUUGGGGAAAGAUUUAUCGGUGAAGGAUUGGCCCGCGUUUGAUUAGAUAGUUGGUGGGGUAAUGGCCUACCAAGUCUACGAUCAAUAGCUGGUUUGAGAGGAUGAUCAGCAACACUGGGACUGAGACACGGCCCAGACUCCUACGGGAGGCAGCAGUGGGGAAUCUUAGACAAUGGGCGCAAGCCUGAUCUAGCCAUGCCGCGUGAGUGACGAAGGCCUUAGGGUCGUAAAGCUCUUUCGCCAGGGAUGAUAAUGACAGUACCUGGUAAAGAAACCCCGGCUAACUCCGUGCCAGCAGCCGCGGUAAUACGGAGGGGGUUAGCGUUGUUCGGAAUUACUGGGCGUAAAGCGUACGUAGGCGGAUUGGAAAGUAUGGGGUGAAAUCCCAGGGCUCAACCCUGGAACUGCCCUGUAAACUAUCAGUCUAGAGUUCGAGAGAGGUGAGUGGAAUUCCAAGUGUAGAGGUGAAAUUCGUAGAUAUUUGGAGGAACACCAGUGGCGAAGGCGGCUCACUGGCUCGAUACUGACGCUGAGGUACCAAAGUGUGGGGAGCAAACCGGAUUAGAUACCCUGGUAG
rnacentral:rRNA from 1 species